UUAUCUAUUAUAUAUAAUAAACGAAUAAAAUUUGGGACACGUGUCGCAAUAUUAGGGCCUCCUAGAUUCAGUUUUGGCGGGAAAAUCCUGGGUCGCUUUUCAAUUACGCGGGAUCCGAAUCCAUUUUAUUGACCCGACUUUUUGUAAAGUGGAUCCUUUAUAUACUAUUUUCUCAUAAACUCAUCAUCCUCUUCAUCCUACAGCAAACCCUAGACGCUACAUCCUCUCUCAGAAUCUAUCUCUACAUCUUCAUCUUUCCCAAUCAAUCUUGGUGUUACUAGAUGGUUUUGUUGUGGAAGCCCCGUAAAUCCUAACCCGAUCCAACCAACAAUCCGAAUCCAUAUAUAAAGCCCUUUUAUUUUCUUGAUCUGAGACAAAACCCUAAUCUCCUACAUCUUCUUGGUCGCUUCAUCUAGAUAUUCACACCGAUCAUCCUCUUCAAUGUACAGGCAAAUUGCGAUGGCAUUUGAUGGUCGCUUUCUUUGUUCGCGCGUGGGUUCUGAAUCUGGAAAGUUCGUUGCAGGAUUGAAGAUCCUUCAUUUUCUGCAUUUACUGGGUUUGAAGAUUUAUCUUUUCGCAGGUGUGUUGUUGAUUGUUGGUUUUACUAGAAUUGCGAAUUAAAUCUCUGAUUGUUUGUAUUUUUUUUUACGGAUAAGUUACCUUUUGUGUAUCAUUGCUGUUGUUGUUCGGUCUUUGUGGUAUUCUGUGGGUUAUAACAGAGAUAACGGCUAGGGUUUGUCAUGGUGGUGGUGUCGGCUACAGUAGAGGCCAGGAAAAGCUUUCUUUUAUGUGUGUGUUUUAGGAGAGAUCUUGACAGCCAAAGCAGACUGUAUGUAAUAUCAUAAUGUUUUCUCAGGGGUUAUCUUUCAUGUCUACAUGCACAAUAGAGGAGGUUUCUUCCGGUUGCGAUGUUGUUCGAUUUUUUCCAUUAUAUGUCUACAAGAGACGUGAAAUGUAUGCUCUGAUGGUGAAAAGAGCUGAAACAAAUGGAUUCAAAGAAUGUGGGUUCAAAUCUUGAAGCUUCUGCAUCCAGGAACUUUAAUCCUUCUUUAUCUUGGAAGUGGUUGGUGAAAAGAUUUAAUAUGAUACAGUUGAUAUAGCAGCAUGUGAAAGUGCCUUCAAGCAACUUCUCACAGACGAUAACACCAGAAUAUGUCAACAUUUAGCAAUUGUUGUUAAUAGGGUGUAUAUGGGACCAAAUGGAUCAAUACUUUGUUAAUGAGAAGUCUAUAGUUUUGUUUAGGUUUAUUCCUGUUAUUUUUUCCCUUGCAUAAGUGUUUCCUUCUUCAAGCAUAUUGCUUAGAUA